rnacentral:lncRNA from 1 species
AAAGAAAGAUCUAGGAAAAGAGUAUACAUCUCUCCCUCCAGUAAAGACUUUGCAUUUCUGGGUAUUUAUCUAAGAAUAUUUUCAACAUGAGUCUUUGUGUGCAAAAUUUUGAAGGCCUUUUAUUCCUGAAAGCAUUUUUUACAACCUCACAUUGAAUAACAAUUUCGAAAGAUACAAUAUCCUUGGUUCAUUUUUUUUCCAUUCUUCCAUAUUACCUUAGAAGCAUUCCUCCAUUUCUUCCAAUCCCAUUCCAAUAUUGCUAAUAAGAAGUCUGAUACAGAUGAACAACUGAUGACUUUUUUUACCCAAUUGCAAACAGCAGUUAGAAGUAGAAUGCAUUGAUUUUUGUAUAUGGUGUGAGAUAAGGGUCUAAUUUGAUUCUUCUGCA